GGAUCUGGCCCCGUUAUGAGGAUCUGAGUCUGUCAAUAUCUGAAGAGGUAGGAAUCUGGUACAGGUAUGAGGAUCUGUGUGUGUGUCAGUGUCUGAGGAGUUAGGAAUCUGGUACAGGUGUGAGGAUCUUCAUGUCUUUGUAUCUGAGGAGGUAGUAUCUGAUACAGGUAUUAGGAUCUGGGUCUAUGUCUGAGGAGGUAGCAUCUGAUACAGGUAUGAAGACCUGAGUCUGUCAGUGUCUGAAGAGGUUGGAUCUGGCCCUGGUAUGAGGAUCUGGGUCUGUCAGUAUUUGAGGAGGUAGGAUCUGGCCCUGGUAGGAGGGUCUGUGUCUUCUAGUGUCUGAAGAAGUAGGAUCUGGCCCUGGUAUGAGGAUCUGGGUCUGUCAGUAUCUGAGGAGGUAGGAUCUCAUACAGGUAUGAGGAUCUGGGUUUUUCAAUGUCUGAGGAGGUAGGAUCUGGCACAGGCGUGAGCAUCUGGGCCUGACCAUGUCUAAAGAGUUGAAGCUGUGUGCAGGUAUGAGGCCUUGGGUCUGCCAGUGUCUGGGGAGGUGAGGCUGGGCAUGGGUGUGAGACCCUGGGUCUGUCCAUAUCUGAGGAGGUAGGAUCUGGUAUGAGUAUGAGGAUCUGGGUGUGUCCGUGUCUGAGGAGGUGGGCCCUGGCACAGGUAUGAGGCCCGGGGUCUGUCCGUGUCUGAGGAGGUGGGCCCUGGCACAGGUAUGAGGCCCUGGGUGUGUCCGUGUCUGAGGAGGUGGGCCCUGGCACACGUAUGAGGUCCUGGGUCUGCUGGUGUCUGCAGAGACAGGGCCCGACAUCUCAGGGAAGACCACGGUAAGCUCUUUAGUUUGUCUUGUGGCUGUGGUCAGUCAUGUGUGGUCUGCCCUGUUGGUCUUCCCAUGUGUUGCCAGCACCUGCCUGCUGCCUUGCUUCCUGGAGGUGGGUUGGGCCAGGGCCCUCCGAGAUGCCCCUGUGCAAGACCAGGGACAGGGUUUCUGGCAGGAGGUGGGGGGCGGGGUGUGCCGGCCCUCCCUCAGCACCUUGUCCUGUCUCUCCUAGUGGGUGGGAGGACGCUACUCGCUGUGGUCGGCCAUCGGACUCUCCAUUGCCCUGCACGUGGGUUUUGACAACUUCGAGCAGCUUCUCUCGGGGGCUCACUGGAUGGACCAGCACUUCCGCACGACGCCGCUGGAGAAGAACGCCCCCGUCUUGCUGGCCCUGCUGGGUAUCUGGUACAUCAACUGCUUUGGGUGUGAGACACAUGCCAUGCUGCCCUAUGACCAGUACCUGCACCGCUUUGCUGCGUACUUCCAGCAGGGCGACAUGGAGUCCAAUGGGAAAUACAUCACCAAAUCUGGCACCCGUGUGGACCACCAGACAGGCCCCAUUGUGUGGGGGGAGCCAGGGACCAAUGGCCAGCAUGCUUUUUACCAGCUCAUCCACCAAGGCACCAAGAUGAUACCCUGUGACUUCCUCAUCCCGGUCCAGACCCAGCACCCCAUACGGAAGGGUUUGCAUCACAA
rnacentral:sRNA from 1 species